UACGGAGGGGGCCAGCGUUGUUCGGAAUCAUUGGGCGUAAAGGGUGCGUAGGUGGCGCGCUAAGUCAGGUGUGAAAUCUCGGGGCUUAACUCCGAAACUGCAUUUGAUACUGGCGUGCUUGAGGACUGGAGAGGAGACUGGAAUUCAUGGUGUAGCAGUGAAAUGCGUAGAGAUCAUGAGGAAGACCAGUGGCGAAGGCGGGUCUCUGGACAGUUCCUGACACUGAGGCACGAAGGCCAGGGGAGCAAACGGG
rnacentral:rRNA from 1 species